AAGUCUAUCGGGAAAUCCGCGCGCUUAACGCGCGGGCGUCCGGUGGAAACUGCGUGGCUUGGGACCGGAAGACCAGAGGGGUACGUCCGGGGUAGGAGUGAAAUCCCGUAAUCCUGGACGGACCACCGGUGGCGAAAGCGCCUCUGGAAGACGGAUCCGACGGUGAGGGACGAAAGCUCGGGUCACGAACCGGAUUAGAUACCCGGGUAGUCCGAGCUGUAAACGAUGUCUGCUAGGUGUGGCACAGGCUACGAGCCUGUGCUGUGCCGUAGGGAAGCCGUGAAGCAGACCGCCUGGGAAGUACGUCCGCAAGGAUGAAACUUAAAGGAAUUGGCGGGGGAGCACUACAACCGGAGGAGCCUGCGGUUUAAUUGGACUCAACGCCGGACAUCUCACCAGCAUCGACAAUGUGCAGUGAAAGUCAGGUUGAUGACCUUACUGGAGCCAUUGAGAGGAGGUGCAUGGCCGCCGUCAGCUCGUACCGUGAGGCGUCCUGUUAAGUCAGGCAACGAGCGAGACCCGCACUCCUAAUUGCCAGCAACACCCUCGUGGUGGUUGGGUACAUUAGGAGGACUGCCAGUGCCAAACUGGAGGAAGGAACGGGCAACGGUAGGUCAGUAUGCCCCGAAUGUGCUGGGCGACACGCGGGCUACAAUGGCCGAGACAGUGGGAUGCAACCCC
rnacentral:rRNA from 1 species